rnacentral:rRNA from 1 species
GACGAACGCUUGCGGCGUGCUUAACACAUGCAAUUCGAACGGACAGGCCCUGCUUUUGUGGUGUGCUCGAGUGGCGAACGGGUUUGUAACACGUUAGUAACCUGCCCUUUACUUUGGGAUAACUUCAGGAAACUUGGGCUAAUACCGGAUAGGAUCUCCUCCUUCCUGUCGGGGGUUUGAAAGUUUCGGUGGUUGGGGCUGGACUCCCGGAUUAUCCGCUUGUUGGUGGGGUAGUGGCUUACCAAGGCCUCGUCGGGUAGCUGGCCUGAGAGGGUGACCGGCCAAAUUGGGAAAGAGAAGCGGACCCAACUCCUACGGGAGGCAGCAGUGAGGAAGAUUGCACAAUGGGCGGAAUCCUGAUGAAGCAAAGACGCGUGCGGGAUGACGGAAAUAGAGUUGUAAACCGAUAACGAAUGUGACGAAGCGUGAGUGACGGUAAUGGGUAAAGAAGCACCAAAUAACUACGAG